CGGACGAGAAGCUUGCUUCUCUGAUGUUAGCGGCGGACGGGUGAGUAACACGUGGAUAACCUACCUAUAAGACUGGGAUAACUUCGGGAAACCGGAGCUAAUACCGGAUAAUAUUUUGAACCGCAUGGUUCAAAAGUGAAAGACGGUCUUGCUGUCACUUAUAGAUGGAUCCGCGCUGCAUUAGCUAGUUGGUAAGGUAACGGCUUACCAAGGCAACGAUGCAUAGCCGACCUGAGAGGGUGAUCGGCCACACUGGAACUGAGACACAGUCCAGACUCCUACGGGAGGCAGCAGUAGGGAAUCUUCCGCAAUGGGCGAAAGCCUGACGGAGCAACGCCGCGUGAGUGAUGAAGGUCUUCGGAUCGUAAAACUCUGUUAUUAGGGAAGAACAUAUGUGUAAGUAACUGUGCACAUCUUGACGGUACCUAAUCAGAAAGCCACGGCUAACUACGUGCCAGCAGCCGCGGUAAUACGUAGGUGGCAAGCGUUAUCCGGAAUUAUUGGGCGUAAAGCGCGCGUAGGCGGUUUUUUAAGUCUGAUGUGAAAGCCCACGGCUCAACCGUGGAGGGUCAUUGGAAACUGGAAAACUUGAGUGCAGAAGAGGAAAGUGGAAUUCCAUGUGUAGCGGUGAAAUGCGCAGAGAUAUGGAGGAACACCAGUGGCGAAGGCGACUUUCUGGUCUGUAACUGACGCUGAUGUGCGAAAGCGUGGGGAUCAAACAGGAUUAGAUACCCUGGUAGUCCACGCCGUAAACGAUGAGUGCUAAGUGUUAGGGGUUUCCGCCCCUUAGUGCUGCAGCUAACGCAUUAAGCACUCCGCCUGGGGAGUA
rnacentral:rRNA from 1 species